GACGAACGCUGGCGGCGUGCUUAACACAUGCAAGUCGAGCGGAAAGGCUCCUUCGGGGGUACUCGAGCGGCGAACGGGUGAGUAACACGUGAGUAAUCUGCCCUGCGCUCUGGGAUAGCCACCGGAAACGGUGAUUAAUACCGGAUAUGACUGCUACCCGCAUGGGUUGGUGGUGGAAAGUUUUUCGGCGCAGGAUGUGCUCGCGGCCUAUCAGCGUGUUGGUGAGGUAAUGGCUAACCAAGGCUUUGACGGGUAGCCGGCCUGAGAGGGUGACCGGUAACACUGGGACUGAGACACGGCCCAGACUCCUACGGGAGGCAGCAGUGGGGAAUAUUGGACAAUGGGCGGAAGCCUGAUCCAGCAACGCCGCGUGAGGGAUGACGGCCUUCGGGUUGUAAACCUCUUUCAGUACCGACGAAGCGAGAGUGACGGUAGGUACAGAAGAAGGACCGGCCAACUACGUGCCAGCCGCCGCCGUAACAC
rnacentral:rRNA from 1 species